rnacentral:rRNA from 1 species
AGCGAACGCUGGCGGCAGGCUUAACACAUGCAAGUCGAACGCCCGUAGCAAUACGGGAGUGGCAGACGGGUGAGUAACGCGUGGGAACGUGCCUUUUGGUUCGGAACAACACAGGGAAACUUGUGCUAAUACCGGAUAAGCCCUUACGGGGAAAGAUUUAUCGCCAAAAGAUCGGCCCGCGUCUGAUUAGCUUGUUGGUGAGGUAACGGCUCACCAAGGCGACGAUCAGUAGCUGGUCUGAGAGGAUGAUCAGCCACACUGGGACUGAGACACGGCCCAGACUCCUACGGGAGGCAGCAGUGGGGAAUAUUGGACAAUGGGCGCAAGCCUGAUCCAGCCAUGCCGCGUGAGUGAUGAAGGCCCUAGGGUUGUAAAGCUCUUUUGUGCGGGAAGAUAAUGACGGUACCGCAAGAAUAAGCCCCGGCUAACUUCGUGCCAGCCGCCGCUGUAAGAC